rnacentral:rRNA from 1 species
UAAAGAAUUUCGGUCAUCGAUGGGGAUGCGUUCCAUUAGCUUGUUGGCGGGGUAACGGCCCACCAAGGCAUCGAUGGAUAGGGGUUCUGAGAGGAAGGUCCCCCACAUUGGAACUGAGACACGGUCCAAACUCCUACGGGAGGCAGCAGUGAGGAAUAUUGGUCAAUGGGCGCUAGCCUGAACCAGCCAAGUAGCGUGAAGGAUGACUGCCCUAUGGGUUGUAAACUUCUUUUAUAUGGGAAUAAAGUGCAGUAUGUAUACUGCUUUGCAUGUACCUUAUGAAUAAGGAUCGGCUAACUCCGUGCCAGCAGCCGCGGUAAUACGGAGGAUCCGAGCGUUAUCCGGAUUUAUUGGGUUUAAAGGGAGCGUAGGCGGGUUGUUAAGUCAGUUGUGAAAGUUUGCGGCUCAACCGUAAAAUUGCAGUUGAUACUGGCAUCCUUGAGUACAGUAGAGGUAGGCGGAAUUCGUGGUGUAGCGGUGAAAUGCUUAGAUAUCACGAAGAACUCCGAUUGCGAAGGCAGCCUGCUGGACUGUAACUGACGCUGAUGCUCGAAAGUGUGGGUAUCAAACAGGAUUAGAUACCCUGGUAGUCCACACAGUAAACGAUGAAUACUCGCUGUUUGCGAUGUACAGUAA